UACGUAGGGUGCGAGCGUUAGUCGGAAUUACUGGGCGUAAAGCGUGCGUAGGCGGUUCGUUAUGUCUGCUGUGAAAUCCCCGGGCUCAACCUGGGAAUGGCAGUGGAAACUGGCGGGCUUGAGUGUGGCAGAGGGGGGUGGAAUUCCGCGUGUAGCAGUGAAAUGCGUAGAUAUCAGGAGGAACACCGGUGGCGAAGGCGGGUCUCUGGGCCGAUACUGACGCUGAGGAGCGAAAGCGUGGGGAGCGAACAGG
rnacentral:rRNA from 1 species